UACGAAGGGAGCUAGCGUUGUUCGGAAUCACUGGGCGUAAAGCGCACGUAGGCGGAUGUGUCAGUCAGGGGUGAAAUCCCGGAGCUCAACUUCGGAACUGCCUUUGAUACAGCACGUCUUGAGUCCGAUAGAGGUGGGUGAAAUUCCUAGUGUAGAGGUGAAAUUCGUAGAUAUUAGGAAGAACACCGGUGGCGAAGGCGGCCCACUGGAUCGGUACUGACGCUGAGGUGCGAAAGCGUGGGGAGCAAACAGG
rnacentral:rRNA from 1 species